UGCCAGCCGCCGCGGUAAUACGGGGGGCGCAAGCGUUAUUCGGAAUUAUUGGGCGUAAAGCGCGUGUAGGCGGUUCGUUAAGUCUGAUGUGAAAGCCCGGGGCUCAACCCCGGAAGUGCAUUGGAAACUGGCGAACUUGAGUACGGGAGAGGAAAGUGGAAUUCCGAGUGUAGGGGUGAAAUCCGUAGAUAUUCGGAGGAACACCAGUGGCGAAGGCGGCUAACUGGCUCGGUACUGACGCUGAGAUGCGAAAGCGUGGGGAGCAAACAGGAUUAGAUA
rnacentral:rRNA from 1 species